rnacentral:ncRNA from 1 species
UCUUUUUAAAGAUUUUGCUUAAAAGGGAAGUUUGGUGAAAGUCCGACGCUGUCCCGCAACUGUAAAUACUUGCUACGUUUGUAUAUCCACUGCCUAAUUAGGUGGGAAGGGCGAGCUAGCGAUAAGUAUGAGCCAGGAGACCUGCCUAUAGCAA